UUCUCAGGGCCACAUCCUUGGCUGCAGUCCAUUGGUGCAACUCACUUGCCAAGCCAUGCCAGGACGUCGCCAGCGGAGGACAGCUGAACAUGGAUGGGUUACAGUGGCGGGCACUUGAUACAGAAGACCGAUAUAAUCUAUAUCGUGGAGAGAGCUGGAAAGASACAAAUCUCCCUGGCAUAUGCUUUAAUGAAACUGAAUUGAAUGGCACCCUGCCACGUCAAUGAUCUUUUAUGGAGCUACUGACUGUGUUGCAAUGGUGAAAUAUGAUUGUGACCAUAGGGCUUCUGG